rnacentral:snoRNA from 1 species
AGUGUAUGACGACACCUCGGUAAUGCCACACACUUCUGUGUGCAAUGGAAACAACAAUCUUGAGUUGAGUGUACA